CCUUCGAUAGCUCAGCUGGAAGAGCGCGGGACUGUAAUUGGCUGCCAAAAACUCGAAUGCAUUCGAAACGCAUACCAAUCCCGAGGUCGCUGGAUCGACGCCGGCUCGAAGGA